rnacentral:rRNA from 1 species
GAUGAACGCUGGCGGCGUGCCUAAUACAUGCAAGUCGAGCGAAGCGGGGACGGGUGAGUAACACGUGGAUAACCUCCUAUAAGACUGGGAUAACCUCGUGAAACCGGAGCUAAACCGGAUACUUAUCGAUGGAUCCGCGCUGGAUUAGCUAGUUGGUAAGGUAACGGCUUACCAAGGCAACGAUGCAUAGCCGAUCUGAGAGGGUGAUCGGCCACACUGGAACUGAGACACGGUCCAGACUCCUACGGGAGGCAGCAGUGGGGAAUAUUCCGCAAUGGGCGAAAGCCUGAUGGAGCAAUGCCGCGUGUGUGAUGAAGGUCUUCGGGUCGUAAAGCUCUGUUAUUAGGGAAGCGGUACCUAAUCAGGAAGCCCCGGCUAACUCCGUGCCAGCAGCCGCGGUAAUUC